AGACUCAGUCUCAAAAAAAAAAAUUACAUGAUCAUGAUCAUAUCCAUAAACAGAAAAAGCAUUUAACAAAACCCUAGAUCAUUUCUGAUAAAAAUACUCGAUAAACUAGGAAUAGAAGGAAACCUUCCUUCACUUGAUAAUGGGUAUUUGUGAAAAACCCGCAUGUGACAUCAUGCUUGGUGGUAAAAAUGAAUGCUUUCUUCCUAAGAUCAAGAACAAGAGAACAUCUCCUCUCACCACUUCUAUUCAAGACAGUGUUUGAAGGUCUAGCCAGGGAAAUUAGAAAAAAUAAAGCGAAUCCAAAUUAGAAAAAAAAAAUAAAAGCUACCUUUAUUCUCAGAUAACAUUGUCUUGCAUAUAGAAAAUCCUAAGUAUCCACUAAAAAUUAUAAGAAAUAACCAGUGAUAGGUCAAUUAGCUGCUUUCGGGAAGCCUUAGGCGACAGGAGACUCCUGGACCCAGCACCUGCUCACUGUGCCUGUCCACCUUUGGCUACUGCAGCUGAUACCCCAGUGGGCUAAGAUUGGACAGGAGCCACCAGGGACCCAGCAAGUCCUUCAGCUCUGUUUUUGAAACAUGAAUCCUUCACUCUUCCUGGCUGCCUUUUGCCUGGGAAUUGCCUCAGCUGCUCUAACACGUGACCACAGUUUAGAUGCACAGUGGAUCAAGUGGAAAGCAAAGCAUAAGAAAUUAUAUGGCAUGAAUGAAGAAGGAUGGAGGAGAGCAGUGUGGGAGAAGAACAUGAAGAUGAUUGAGCAGCACAAUCAAGAAUACAGUCAAGGGAAACACAGCUUCACAAUGGCCAUGAACGCCUUUGGAGACAUGACCAAUGGAGAAUUUAGGCAGGUGAUGAAUGGUUUUCAAUACCAGAAGCACAGGAAGGGGAAGGAGUUCCAGGAACAUCUUCUUCUUGAGAUCCCCACAUCUGUGGACUGGAGAGAGAGAGGCUACGUGACUCCUGUGAAGAAUCAGGGUAUGUGUGGCUCUUGUUGGGCUUUUAGUGCAACUGGUGCUCUGGAAGGGCAGAUGUUCUGGAAAACAGGCAAACUUAUUUCACUGAGUGAGCAGAAUCUGGUAGACUGCUCUUGGCCUCAAGGCAAUGAGGGCUGCAACGGUGGUUUCAUGGAUAAUUCCUUCCGGUAUGUUCAGGAGAACGGAGGCCUGGACUCUGAGGCAUCCUGUCCAUAUGAAGGAAAGGUUAAAACCUGUAGGUACAAUCCCAAGUACUCUGUUGCUAAUGACACUGGCUUUGUGGACAUCCCUUCACGGGAGAAGGACCUGGCGAAGGCAGUGGCAACUGUGGGGCCCAUCUCUGUUGCUGUUGAUGCAAGCCAUUUCUCCUUCCAGUUCUACAAAAAAGAAAUUUAUUUUGAGCCACGUUGUGACCCUGAAGGCCUAGAUCAUGCUAUGCUGGCGGUUGGCUAUGGCUAUGAAGGAGCAGACUCGGAUAACAAUAAAUAUUGGCUGGUGAAGAACAGCUGGGGUAAAAACUGGGGCAUGGAUGGCUACAUAAAGAUGGCCAAAGACCGGAGGAACAACUGUGGAAUCGCCACAGCAGCCAGCUACCCCACUGUGUGAGCUGAUGAAUGGUGAUGAGGAAGAACUUGACUGAGGAUGGCACAUCCAGAGGAGGAAUUUAUCUUCAGUCUACCAGCCCCUGCUGUGUGGAAUGCACACUUCAAUCAUUGAAGAUCCAAGUGUGAUUGGAAUUCUGAUAUUUUCACACUGGUAAAUGUUACCUCUAUUUUAAUUACUGCUAUAAACAUGUUUGUAUUAUUGGUUCACUUACUUUGUAUUUUCAUUUUUAAAAGAUAUACACAUUUUUACCUGUUUA